UCCGGAGUCAGACUCCGGCAGUCCCCCGUGAUACGUGCAACACGGGGCAAGGGUUGCGCUCGUUGCGGGACUUAACCCAACAUCUCACGACACGAGCUGACGACAGCCAUGCAGCACCUGUGUCCUGGCUCCCGAAGGCACCCCUUCAUCUCUGAAGGGUUCCAGGCAUGUCAAGGGCAGGUAAGGUUCUUCGCGUUGCAUCGAAUUAAACCACAUGCUCCACCGCUUGUGCGGGUCCCCGUCAAUUCCUUUGAGUUUUAGCCUUGCGGCCGUACUCCCCAGGCGGGGCACUUAAUGCGCUAGCGUCGGCACGGGAGGAGUCGACACCUCCCACACCUAGUGCCCAUCGUUUACGGCGUGGACUAC
rnacentral:misc_RNA from 1 species